GGAAUAUUGGGCAAUGGGCGAAAGCCUGACCCAGCAACGCCGCGUGAGGGAAGAAGGUUUUCAGAUUGUAAACCUCUAUCGCAGGGGACGAAGGAAGUGACGGUACCCUGCAAGGAAGCCCCGGCUAACUACGUGCCAGCAGCCGCGGUAAUACGUAGGGGGCGAGCGUUGUCCGGAAUGACUGGGCGUAAAGGGCGUGUAGGCGGCCGGAUAAGUUAGGAGUGAAAGUCCUGCUUUCAAGGUGGGAAUUGCUUUUAAUACUGUCCGGCUUGAGUGCGGAAGAGGUAAGUGGAAUUCCCAGUGUAGCGGUGAAAUGCGUAGAGAUUGGGAGGAACACCAGUGGCGAAGGCGACUUACUGGGCCGCAACUGACGCUGAGGCGCGAAAGCGUGGGGAGCGAACA
rnacentral:rRNA from 1 species